UCCGGUUUGUCACCGGCAGUCUCCCUAGAGUUCCCGACCGAAUCGCUGGCAAAUAGGGACAAGGGUUGCGCUCGUUACGGGACUUAACCCAACAUUUCACAACACGAGCUGACGACAGCCACGCAGCACCUGUCACUCGGUUCCCGAAGGCACUCCGCCGUCUCCGGCAGAUUCCGAGGAUGUCAAGGGUAGGUAAGGUGGGUGACGUACUGGAAGCAAGCU
rnacentral:misc_RNA from 1 species